UGCAAGUUGGGCUGGUGACAUUGAUUUCGGUAAUGUAGUCGCCGAUGACAUCUAGCCCGACAAAGUGCAGGCCUUUGGCUUGUAG
rnacentral:tRNA from 1 species